rnacentral:rRNA from 1 species
UGGGGAAUUUUGGACAAUGGGCGAAAGCCUGAUCCAGCAAUGCCGCGUGUGUGAAGAAGGCCUUCGGGUUGUAAAGCACUUUUGUCCGGAAAGAAAUCCUUGGCUCUAAUACAGUCGGGGGAUGACGGUACCGGAAGAAUAAGCACCGGCUAACUACGUGCCAGCAGCCGCGGUAAUACGUAGGGUGCAAGCGUUAAUCGGAAUUACUGGGCGUAAAAGCGUGCGCAGGCGGUUUGCUAAGACCGAUGUGAAAUCCCCGGGCUCAACCUGGGAACUGCAUUGGUGACUGGCAGGCUAGAGUAUGGCAGAGGGGGGUAGAAUUCCACGUGUAGCAGUGAAAAUGCGUAGAGAUGUGGAGGAAUACCGAUGGCGAAAGGCAGCCCCCUGGGGCCAAAUACUGACGCUCAUGCACGAAAAGCGUGGGGAGCAAAACAGGAUUAGAUACCCUGGUAGUCCACGCCCUAAAACGAUGUCAACUAGUUGUUGGGGAUUCAUUUCCUUAGUAACGU